rnacentral:rRNA from 1 species
UACGUAGGGGGGCUAGCGUUGUCCGGAUUUAUUGGGCGUAAAGAGCGUGUAGGCGGUCCGGUAAGUCCGCUGUGAAAGUCGGGGGCUCAACCCUCGAAUGCCGGUGGAUACUGUCGGGCUAGAGUACGGAAGAGGAGAAUGGAAUUCCCGGUGUAGCGGUGAAAUGCGCAGAUAUCGGGAAGAACACCCGUGGCGAAGGCGGUUCUCUGGGACGGUACUGACGCUGAGACGCGAAAGCGUGGGGAGCGAACAGG